rnacentral:rRNA from 1 species
CCUACGGGGGGCAGCAGUGAGGAAUAUUGGUCAAUGGCCGGAAGGCUGAACCAGCCAAGCCGCGUGAGGGAGGAAGGCGCAGAGCGUCGCAGACCUCUUUUGCCGGGGGACAAAAGGCCGGACUCGUCCGGUCCUGAGGGUACCCGGAGAAAAAGCAUCGGCUAACUACGUGCCAGCAGCCGCGGUAAUACGUAGGGGGCAAGCGUUAUCCGGAUUUACUGGGUGUAAAGGGAGCGUAGACGGCAGCGCAAGUCUGGAGUGAAAUGCCGGGGCCCAACCCCGGAACUGCUUUGGAAACUGUGCAG